CCGCACCGCCACCACCUGCGACAGAGACGGUCGUUUCGUGAGAGGAAGGACGUCCUGAAUGAGCUAGAUGACCGUGAGCUGGUGAAGAGGUAUUGGCAGGAUCCUGCUGGUAUCAUUUUCGUGACAAAUUUGGUGCGGGAAAGGCUGAAGAGACCAACUGCAAGGAACAAGGCCUCUCUCCCCGAGAUGCAAGUUAUCUUCACUGCGGUACCUCGCUAUAGGAAAGAUGCAGCAGUGCAGCACUGAUGACUUGGGGCCCUCACAACAGACCAUCAGCAGGAUCAUCAGUGAUACAGUGAUACAAUGCCAUCCUCUCUUAAUUCAUAAGAUUUUUAGUCACCCAACUGGAAACUCAGUGGAGGAAGGAGGAGUUUCUGCAGAUUGCUGGCUUCCCUGAAGUGAUCGGUGGCAUUGAUGGAACGCACGUAAUGAUUGUGGCUCCUAGAGAGUAUAAGGUAGAGUUUGUCAACAGGAAGAGAUACUACAGCAUCAACGUGCAGUUUGUGUUUGAUGCUUGAUACCACAUUAUUGAUGUGGUUGCAAAGUGGCCGGGAUCGGUUCACGAUGCAAGAAUACUUGUUCAAAGUGGACUCUGCACGAUAUUUGACAACGGCAUCGUCCCAGCUGGGUGUCACUUACAGGAGAUAGUGACUAUCCCAGCAAGAAGUGGCUACUGACUCCAUACCUCAGACCACAGCCUGGAGCACAGUCUUCUUAUAACAGGGCCCACAAGAAAACCUGCAGCGUUGUUGAGAGGCAUCGGGCAGCUGAAGCGACAUUUUCACAUGCUACACAGUGAGAUCCGAGUUGGUCCUCCAUCCAAGGUCUGCCAAAUUGUAGAGGUUUGUGCACUGCUGCACAACAUCUGCAAAGCAAGAAACAUCAUUCUUCCUGAGGAAGAAGAACAUCUUGCUGCAGCCGAGGAUGGAGGCAACGAGGAGCGACUCUAGCACAGAAAGUUCAAAGUCGCCAUGAAGUAAUCCUUUACAGGGAUGAAUUUGUUGUGCUUCACUUCAACAUUGAUGAGUGAUGAGACACCAGUGUCAUGACUGCUGAGAUUGGUGUUAUUCUCAUGUAAGUAGUUUUUUUUUU